GACGAACGCUGGCGGCGUGCUUAACACAUGCAAGUCGAGCGGUAAGGCCUCUUCGGGGGUACACGAGCGGCGAACGGGUGAGUAACACGUGGGUGACCUGCCCUCAGCUCUGGGAUAAGCCUGGGAAACUGGGUCUAAUACCGGAUAUGACCUUUCCUCGCAUGGGGUUUGGUGGAAAGUUUUUUCGGCUGGGGAUGGGCCCGCGGCCUAUCAGCUUGUUGGUGGGGUGAUGGCCUACCAAGGCGACGACGGGUAGCCGGCCUGAGAGGGCGACCGGCCACACGGGGACUGAGACACGGCCCGGGCUCCUACGGGAGGGAGCAGUGGGGAAUCUUGCGCAAUGGGCGGAAGCCUGACGCAGCGACGCCGCGUGGAGGAUGACGGCCUUCGGGUUGUAAACCUCUUUCGACCCCGACGAAUUUAGACGGUAGGGGUAGAAGAAGCACCGGCCAACUACGUG
rnacentral:rRNA from 1 species